GUCCAUGCACAAACAUCUGAAGCUGUUCUGAGGGCAAAAGGGGGAGGUGCAACUCAUUAUCAGGAAGAGGGUGUUCCUAAUGUUUUGUCCGCUCAGUGUAUGUCAGAUGUAUGUGAACAUAAAUACACAUAGAAACAUCUCAAUGCACGGUGAAUGUAGGUCGGCCUACUGACUGUAUGUGAACAUAAAUACAUGAAGUACAUUUCAUCUGAAUUGUUCAUGCGAAUUUUGUAAGCUAUUUUUUUUUUGCAGUGUGAGUGCCUUGUUAUUUUGAGAUUCAAUAAACAUAGCCUUGAUGAGUACUGUGCUAGCAUGUGAAACAGAAGCCUCUGCUCUGAUCUGGCUUUACUCUUUUUGAAUAAGAGAUUUCCCUCCUUGAAUAAGUUGUCCAAUACAUCAGGUAUUUGUCAGUGUUACAAGAUACAAUUACAGUGUCAAUGGCAGGUUACCAGGGAGAGCGCUGGGUAGAACUGGGUUGUAGAGCACAUAUCUCAACCCAAACACUCAUCAACACAGAGGUGGAUACUGGGGCGGCAGGUAGCCUAGUGGUUAGUGGUUAGAGCAGGUAGCCUAGUGGUUAGAGCAGGUAGCCUAGUGGUUAGAGCAGGUAGCCUAGUGGUUAGAGCCAGGUAGCCUAGUGGUUAGAGGAGGUAGCCUAGUGAUUAGAGCAGGUAGCCUAGUGGUUAGUGGUUAGAGCAGGUAGCCUAGUGGUUAGAGCAGGUAGCCUAGUGGUUAGAGCAGGUAGCCUAGUGGUUAGAGAAGGUAGCCUAGUGGUUAGAGAAGGUAGCCUAGUGGUUAGAGCAGGUAGCCUAGUGAUUAGAGCAGGUAGCCUAGUGGUUAGAGAAGGUAGCCUAGUGGUUAGAGCAGGUAGCCUAGUGGUUAGAGAAGGUAGCCUAGUGGUUAGAGCAGGUAGCCUAGUGGUUAGAGCAGGUAGCCUAGUGGUUAGAGAAGGUAGCCUUGUGGUUAGAGCAGGUAGCCUAGUGGUUAGAGAAGGUAGCCUAGUGGUUAGAGCAGGUAGCCUAGUGGUUAGAGAAGGUAGCCUAGUGGUUAGAGCAGGUAGCCUAGUGGUUAGAGCAGGUAGCCUAGUGGUUAGAGAAGGUAGCCUAGUAGUUAGAGCAGGUAGCCUAGUGGUUAGAGCAGGUAGCCUAGUGGUUAGAUCAGGUAGCCUAGUGGUUAGAUCAGGUGGCCUAGUGGUUAGAUCAGGUAGCCUAGUGGUUAGAUCAGGUGGCCUAGUGGUUAGAUCAGGUGGCCUAGUGGUUAGAGCAGGUAGCCUAGUGGUUAGAGCAGGUAGCCUAGUGGUUAGAUCAGGUGGCCUAGUGGUUAGAGCGUUGGGCCAGUUACCGAAAGGCUGCUGCAUCGAAUCCCCAAGCUGACAAGGUAAAAAUCUGUCCUUCUGCCCCUGAACAAGGCAGUUAACCCAUAUUUGAUACUUAACCAUUCUUAACUAGGCAAGUCAGUUAAGAACAAAUUGUUCUUUACAAUGAGGGCCUACCAGAAGGCCUCCUGCAGGGACGGGAUUAAACGUGUUCAAUAAAUUAAUGAAAAAUAUAGGACAAAACACACAUCACGACAAGAGAGACAACACAACACUACAUAAAGAGAGACCUAAGACGACAACAUAGUCCUCUUUUAACAUUUUUAAAAAUCUUUAUUUAACUGGCAAGUCAGUUAAAAACAUUAUUAUUAACAAUGACGGCCUAACAAAAGGC
ensembl:lncRNA